GCCCACCAUCUACUCAGUCCAAGCUUGUUAAUCAACCACCUGCGUAUACCACACCCAGCAAAGCCCCCUGAGUGACUCACAGUCACAACCAGCGUACUAAUCUUUCCUCUGUGUCCUUCCAGGUUCUUCUGAGGACAACCUGAGUUUAGUAUGCCCACCACCAAAUGAAGAUGAUGAUGGUAAUCAUGAUGUUGAUGAUGCCCAGAUUUCACCAUCAUCUGUCCUGGGUUCUUCUGACGACAACCUGAGUUUAGUGUGCCUGCCACCAAGUGAAGUUGAUGAUUUGGAUGAUGAUGAUGAUGCCCAGAUUUCACCAUCACAUGUCCAGGCUUGGCCUGAGGAUGGCCUGUUCUUACGAUGUGCGCCACGAUGCAAAGAUGAAGAUGAUGAUGAUGAUGAUGAUGAUGAUGAUGAUGAUGCCUAUGUAAGACCCCCCUAUUUUAUCUUCUACAGCAAUGUUGUUUUCCUGAUCCCUUUACUACUCAAUUUUGAUAUGAAAAUCUGGCAGUGCACAUUAUGUACACUGUACACUAUUCUCUUUGUGGGGCUGGAGUUCAGUAGAAGUGUCUUCCCAACUGAUACACGUUACAGUAGGGUGC
rnacentral:lncRNA from 1 species